CCUACGGGAGGCAGCAGUGGGGGAUAUUGCACAAUGGGGGGAACCCUGAUGCAGCGACGCCGCGUGGGUGAAGAAGGGCCUCGACGCGUAAAGCCCUGUCAGCAGGGAAGCAAAUGACGGUACCUGAAGAAGAAGCCCCGGCGAACGACGUGCCAGCAGCCGCGGGAAGACGUAGGGGGCAAGCGUUAUCCGGAUUUACUGGGUGUAAAGGGGGCGCAGACGGCGAUGCAAGUCAGGAGUGAAAGCGCUGGGCCCAACCCCGGGACUGCUCUUGGAACUGCGUGGCUGGAGUGCAGGAGGGGCAGGCGGAAUGCGUGGUGUAGCGGUGAAAUGCGUAGAUAUCAGGAGGAACACCGGUGGCGAAGGCAGCAUGCUGGACUGCAACUGACGUUGAGGCCCGAAAGCGUGGGGAUCGAACAGGAUUAGAUACCCGAGUAGUC
rnacentral:rRNA from 1 species